rnacentral:rRNA from 1 species
CCUACGGGUGGCAGCAGUGGGGGAUAUUGCACAAUGGGGGGAACACUGAUGCAGCGACGCCGCGUGGGUGAAGGAGUGCUUCGGCAUGUUAAGCCCUAUCGGCCGGGAAGCAGCAAGACGGUCCCUGCCUAAGAAGCCCCGGCGAACGACGUGCCCGCAGCCGCGGUAAUACGGAGGGGGCGGGCGUUAUCCGGAUUCACUGGGUGUAAAGGGAGCGGAGACGGCAAUGCAAGCCAGGGGUGAAAGCCCGGGGCCCAAACCCCGGACUGCCGUUGAAACUGCAUGGCUGGAGGUCGAGAGGGGCAGGCGGAAUGCCUGGUGUAGCGGUGAAAUGCGUAGAUAUCAGGAGGAACUCCGGCGGCGAAGGCAGCAUGCUGGCCUGCGACUGACGUUGAGGCACGAAAGCGUGGGGAGCGAACAGGAUUAGAUACCCCGGUAGUC